CUACGGGACGCAGCAGUGAGGAAUAUUGCACAAUGGGGGGAACCCUGAUGCAGCAACGCCGCGUGGAGGAUGACGCAUUUCGGUGUGUAAACUCCUUUUAUAUGUCAAGAAAAUGACGGUAGCAUAUGAAUAAGCACCGGCUAACUCCGUGCCAGCAGCCGCGGUAAUACGGGAGGGUGCAAGCGUUACUCGGAAUCACUGGGCGUAAAGGGCGCGUAGGCGGGUUGGAAAGUCAGGUGUGAAAUCCUACAGCUUAACUGUAGAACUGCACUUGAAACUUCUAAUCUAGAGUAUGGGAGGGGGAGAUGGAAUUAGUGGUGUAGGGGUAAAAUCCGUAGAUAUCACUAGGAAUACCUAAAGCGAAGGCGAUCUCCUGGAACAUUACUGACGCUAAGGCGUGAAAGCGUGGGGAGCAAACAGGAUUAGAUACCCCCGUAGUC
rnacentral:rRNA from 1 species